UGCCUACGGGGGGCAGCAGUGAGGGAUAUUGGUCAAUGGGGGAAACCCUGAACCAGCAACGCCGCGUGAGGGAAGACGGUUUUCGGAUUGUAAACCUCUGUCCUCUGUGAAGAUGAUGACGGUAGCAGAGGAGGAAGCUCCGGCUAACUACGUGCCAGCAGCCGCGGUAAUACGUAGGGAGCAAGCGUUGUCCGGAUUUACUGGGUGUAAAGGGAGCGUAGGCGGGAGAGCAAGUCGACUGUGAAAUCUAUGGGCUUAACCCAUAGCUGCGAUCGAAACUGUUCAUCUUGAGUGAAGUAGAGGCG
rnacentral:rRNA from 1 species